AGAGUUUGAUCAUGGCUCAGGAUGAACGCUGGCGGCGUGCCUAAUACAUGCAAGUCGAGCGGAAACACUUCGGGGUGUCGAGCGGCGGACGGCUGAGUAACGCGUAGGAAUGUACCCCAAACUGAGGGAUAAGCCCGGGAAACCGGGUCUAAUACCGCAUGUGCUCUUAGGAGUAAAGCUUCGGCGGUUUGGGAGCGGCCUGCGUCCGAUUAGCUUGUUGGUGAGGUAAUAGCUCACCAAGGCGACGAUCGGUAGCUGGUCUGAGAGGAUGAUCAGCCAGACUGGGACUGAGACACGGCCCAGACUCCUACGGGAGGCAGCAGUAGGGAAUAUUGCGCAAUGGACGUAAGUCUGACGCAGCAACGCCGCGUGCAGGAGGAAGGCCUUCGGGUUGUAAACUGCUUUUAUCUGUGACGAUUAUGACGGUAGCAGAAGAAUAAGGAUCGGCUAACUCCGUGCCAGCAGCCGCGGUCAUACGGAGGAUCCAAGCGUUAUCCGGAAUUACUGGGCGUAAAGAGUUGCGUAGGUGGCAUAGUAAGCAAGCAGUGAAAGGUUGCGGCUCAACCGCAGAUACAUUGUUUGAACUGCUAAGCUAGAAGACAAGAGAGGUAGCUGGAAUUCCUAGUGGAGGAGUGAAAUCCGUAGAUAUUAGGAGGAACACCGAUGGCGUAGGCAGGCUACUGGCUUGUUCCUGACACUGAGGCACGAAAGCGUGGGGAGCGAACGGGAUUAGAUACCCUAGUAGUCC
rnacentral:rRNA from 1 species